UACAGGGGGGGCAAGCGUUGUUCGGAAUUACUGGGCGUAAAGGGCUAGUAGGCGGCCUGCUAAGUCCGACGUGAAAUCCCCAAGCUUAACUUGGGAACUGCGUCGGAUACUGGCGGGCUUGAAUCCGGGAGAGGGAUGCGGAAUUCCAGGUGUAGCGGUGAAAUGCGUAGAGAUCGGGAGGAAGGCCGGUGGCGAAGGCGGCGCUCUGGAACGUUUCUGACGCUGAGGCUCGAAAGCGUGGGGAGCAAACAGG
rnacentral:rRNA from 1 species